rnacentral:rRNA from 1 species
ACAGAGGUCUCAAGCGUUGUUCGGAUUCAUUGGGCGUAAAGGGUGCGUAGGUGGCGCCAUAAGUCAGGUGUGAAAUCUCGGGGCUCAACCCCGAAACUGCACUUGAUACUGUGGUGCUCGAGUACUGGAGAGGAGAUUGGAAUUUACGGUGUAGCAGUGAAAUGCGUAGAUAUCGUAAGGAAGACCAGUGGCGAAGGCGGCUACCUGGACAAUUGCUGUCGCUCAGGCACGAAAGCGUGGGGAGCAAAAGGGA